AGAGUUUGAUCAUGGCUCAGAUUGAACGCUGGCGGCAGGCCUAACACAUGCAAGUCGAGCGGUAGCACAGAGAGCUUGCUCUCGGGUGACGAGCGGCGGACGGGUGAGUAAUGUCUGGGAAACUGCCUGAUGGAGGGGGAUAACUACUGGAAACGGUAGCUAAUACCGCAUAACGUCGCAAGACCAAAGUGGGGGACCUUCGGGCCUCAUGCCAUCAGAUGUGCCCAGAUGGGAUUAGCUAGUAGGUGGGGUAACGGCUCACCUAGGCGACGAUCCCUAGCUGGUCUGAGAGGAUGACCAGCCACACUGGAACUGAGACACGGUCCAGACUCCUACGGGAGGCAGCAGUGGGGAAUAUUGCACAAUGGGCGCAAGCCUGAUGCAGCCAUGCCGCGUGUGUGAAGAAGGCCUUCGGGUUGUAAAGCACUUUCAGCGGGGAGGAAGGCGUUAAGGUUAAUAACCUUGGCGAUUGACGUCACCCGCAGAAGAAGCACCGGCUAACUCCGUGCCAGCAGCCGCGGUAAUACGGAGGGUGCAAGCGUUAAUCGGAAUUACUGGGCGUAAAGCGCACGCAGGCGGUCUGUCAAGUCGGAUGUGAAAUCCCCGGGCUCAACCUGGGAACUGCAUUCGAAACUGGCAGGCUAGAGUCUUGUAGAGGGGGGUAGAAUUCCAGGUGUAGCGGUGAAAUGCGUAGAGAUCUGGAGGAAUACCGGUGGCGAAGGCGGCCCCCUGGACAAAGACUGACGCUCAGGUGCGAAAGCGUGGGGAGCAAACAGGAUUAGAUACCCUGGUAGUCCACGCCGUAAACGAUGUCGAUUUGGAGGUUGUGCCCUUGAGGCGUGGCUUCCGGAGCUAACGCGUUAAAUCGACCGCCUGGGGAGUACGGCCGCAAGGUUAAAACUCAAAUGAAUUGACGGGGGCCCGCACAAGCGGUGGAGCAUGUGGUUUAAUUCGAUGCAACGCGAAGAACCUUACCUGGUCUUGACAUCCACAGAACUUUCCAGAGAUGGAUUGGUGCCUUCGGGAACUGUGAGACAGGUGCUGCAUGGCUGUCGUCAGCUCGUGUUGUGAAAUGUUGGGUUAAGUCCCGCAACGAGCGCAACCCUUAUCCUUUGUUGCCAGCGGUUAGGCCGGGAACUCAAAGGAGACUGCCAGUGAUAAACUGGAGGAAGGUGGGGAUGACGUCAAGUCAUCAUGGCCCUUACGACCAGGGCUACACACGUGCUACAAUGGCAUAUACAAAGAGAAGCGACCUCGCGAGAGCAAGCGGACCUCAUAAAGUAUGUCGUAGUCCGGAUUGGAGUCUGCAACUCGACUCCAUGAAGUCGGAAUCGCUAGUAAUCGUAGAUCAGAAUGCUACGGUGAAUACGUUCCCGGGCCUUGUACACACCGCCCGUCACACCAUGGGAGUGGGUUGCAAAAGAAGUAGGUAGCUUAACCUUCGGGAGGGCGCUUACCACUUUGUGAUUCAUGACUGGGGUGAAGUCGUAACAAGGUAACCGUAGGGGAACCUGCGGUUGGAUCACCU
rnacentral:rRNA from 1 species